rnacentral:rRNA from 1 species
AGGAGUAGACAACAGGGAUUGCCCUAGUAACGGCGAGUGAAGCGGCAACAGCUCAAAUUUGAAAUCUGGCCCCCGGGUCCGAGUUGUAAUUUGUAGAGGAUGCUUUUGGCGAGGUGCCUUCCGAGUUCCCUGGAACGGGACGCCAUAGAGGGUGAGAGCCCCGUCUGGUCGGACACCGAGCCUCUGUAAAGCUCCUUCGACGAGUCGAGUAGUUUGGGAAUGCUGCUCAAAAUGGGAGGUAUAUGUCUUCUAAAGCUAAAUAUUGGCCAGAGACCGAUAGCGCACAAGUAGAGUGAUCGAAAGAUGAAAAGCACUUUGAAAAGAGGGUUAAAAAGUACGUGAAAUUGUUGAAAGGGAAGCGCCUAUGACCAGACUUGGGCCCGGUGAAUCACCCAGCGUUCUCGCUGGUGCACUUCGCCGGGCACAGGCCAGCAUCAGUUUGGCGCGGGGGAGAAAGGCUUCGGGAAUGUGGCUCCCCUGGGAGUGUUAUAGCCCGUUGCGCAAUACCCUGCGCUGGACUGAGGUACGCGCAUUCGCAAGGAUGCUGGCGUAAUGGUCAUCAGCGACCCGUCUUGAAACACGGACCAAGGAGUCGUCUUCGUAUGCGAGUGUUCGGGUGUCAAACCCCUACGCGUAAUGAAAGUGAACGCAGGUGAGAGCUUCGGCGCAUCAUCGACCGAUCCUGAUGUUCUCGGAUGGAUUUGAGUAAGAGCAUACGGGGCCGGACCCGAAAGAAGGUGAACUAUGCCUGUAUAGGGUGAAGCCAGAGGAAACUCUGGUGGAGGCUCGCAGCGGUUCUGACGUGCGAAUCGAUCGUCAAAUAUGGGCAUGGGGGCGAAAGACUAAUCGAACCUUCUAGUAGCUGGUUUCCGCCGAAGUUUCCCUCAGAUAGCAGUGUUGAACUCAGUUUUAUGAGUAAAGCGAAUGAUUAGGGACUCGGGGGCGCUAUAUUGCCUUCAUCCAUUCUCAAACUUUAAAUAUGUAAGAGCCCUGUACUUGAAUGAACGUGGGCAUUCGAAUGUAUCACACUAGUGGGCCAUUUUGGUAAGCAGAACUGGCGAUGCCGGAUGAACCGAACGGGAGGUUAAAGUGCCGGAUUUGA